UUAAUUAUUCUAUUGUUACUUUCAAUAAAAAAAAUUCAUUUCUGGGUUUCAUAACUUGUGCCCCAAGGGCACAAGUUAGCAUUACCCAAUAUUAAUAUAGGUCUUUAAAUUUUUGUUUUUAUUUUAAUUAAUCGUGAUCAAAUUUACGUGGUGCAGUUAGUUCGUUGGUUUCCACCUUCCGAGCAUCAAGUGGCCCUCAAUGUUGAUGGGAGUUCUUAUGGAAAUCCAGGAAGGGCUGGUUAUGGAGGAU
rnacentral:lncRNA from 1 species